UAAAUAAACCGGGUCUGUGACCACAAUAUGUUGCUGCAAUCAGGACCAUUGCAAUAAAAUAAAACACUCAACUACUAUGAAGCCGUCGCCUGGCCCAGGUCUCAUAGAACUGGCAGCUGUCAUUGCCUCCUCUGCAUCUCACUCAUGUUAAUGAUCUGUUUCUGCCACAACCGCACUGUCACUCACCAUCAAGUGUCAAAUAAAGAGGACCCUUCAUUAGAUUAUCCUUUUAUUAGGCCAGGCAAUUAUCCUUUUAUUUCAGAGGGAACUACAUUAAAAGAUUUAAUUUAUGAUAUGACAAUAUCAGGCUCUGGAUCAGGUCUACCAUUGCUUGUUCAGAGAACAAUUGUGAAAACUAUUGUUGUUACAGGAACACUGGCAAAGGUGAAUGUGAAGAAUUUUGGCGAGGAAAGCGGCGGGGAGAAGUUGUCAUUAAGAUAUUCCCUUCUAUGGAGAACUUCUCAUCUAGAGAAGAACGUUUGUGACUCUAUGAGGCAGAGAUUUAUCAAAUUGGCAGGUUACGUCAUGAAAACCUCCUGG
rnacentral:lncRNA from 10 species